rnacentral:rRNA from 1 species
AACGAACGCUGGCGGCAGGCCUAACACAUGCAAGUCGAACGCACCUUCGGGUGAGUGGCGCACGGGUGAGUAACACGUGGGAAUGUACCCUUUGGUUCGGAAUAACGUCUGGAAACGGACGCUAAUACCGGAUGAGCCCUACGGGGGAAAGAUUUAUCGCCAAAGGAGCAGCCCGCGUCUGAUUAGCUAGCUGGUGGGGUAAAGGCCUACCAAGGCGACGAUCAGUAGCUGGUCUGAGAGGAUGAUCAGCCACACUGGGACUGAGACACGGCCCAGACUCCUACGGGAGGCAGCAGUGGGGAAUAUUGGACAAUGGGCGGAAGCUUGAUCCAGCCAUGCCGCGUGAGUGAUGAAGGCCUUCGGGUUGUAAAGCUCUUUCGCACGCGACGAUGAUGACGGUAGCGUGAGAAGAAGCCCCGGCUAACUUCGUGCCAGCCGCCGCAGUAAAAC